ACAUUUCUGGAAUAUUUAAAUGUAAUAUAUGAGGCAUAUAAUUUUAUUCUGAUUUAAAAGUAUCUUUUUCCUCUUGUUUAUUUAUUACAUUUUCGGCAGUUUUCUUCAAUUGCGCUUUAAUCUUUUAACUUUAACCAUCUCUUUCUAUCUAGCCAUUUUCACACAAACGACGCUGCGUUUUUUAAGAUUACAUUGUGUAGGCAAGUAAUAUAAAAAAAUUGUGGUAAACAUGUCUUAUAGGAAUAACGAUUGCCGAAUAUAUGUUGGAAAUUUGCCGCCUGAUAUUCGUACGAAAGAUAUUGAAGAUUUAUUCUACAAAUUUGGUAAAAUAACAUUUAUCGAUCUCAAAAAUAGACGAGGCCCUCCAUUUGCUUUUGUGGAAUUCGAAGAUCCCAGGGAUGCAGAAGAUGCAGUUCAAGCACGUGAUGGUUAUGAUUAUGAUGGAUACAGAUUGCGUGUUGAAUUUCCUCGGGGAAAUGGUCCAGGCAGGGGAAUGGGUGCACCAAGAGGAAGAGGCAGAGGGCCACCUGCAAGACGAUCUCAGUAUCGUGUAUUAGUGUCAGGUCUUCCUUCAACAGGCAGCUGGCAGGAUUUGAAAGAUCACAUGAGAGAAGCUGGAGAUGUGUGUUAUGCAGAUGUGCAUAAAGAUGGAACUGGUGUUGUUGAGUUCCUGAGAUAUGAAGAUAUGAAAUAUGCAGUUAAAAAAUUAGAUGAUUCAAGAUUUCGUUCUCAUGAGGGUGAAGUUGCUUAUAUCAGAGUAAAAGAAGACUUUGGUAGUCGUUCAAGAUCAAGAAGUCGAAGUUAUUCUCCUCGCAGAACCCGCGGCUCUCCAACCUAUUCUCCAGCCAAUCGCUCACGUUCCCGAUCUCAUUCAAGAUCGCGCUCAUAAACUGUCAUUCUGAAAGCUGUUUCAUUUCCAAAACUGAUUUUAUCAAAAUGUGGAAAACCCUGUUGAUGAAAUUGAAAUUUGAAUAAAAUGGAUUAAAAGGACAUUAAAAGGAGCUGACAUUAUUUAAAUGGACCCUUAAGCAAGAGCAGCGUGGAAUCAUUAAGGAAACCGCUAGGGUUAUUUUUAAAUGUAACAUUGAAGGAUUAAAGGAAUGUAAGCAAUUUACAAAGGAGAAGGACUUCUGUGCAAAACCUGGAUUUUGGCGUGUCCUCUCAUAACUUUGCUUAGGCUACUCGGUUGGAUUUCAUUUCCCAAAUUGGAUUAUGCCAUGGAUAGGAGCACUGUUUAGGAUUAGCUUCCCAAUUUGGAUCACUGUCUCAUGGGAGCAAGUUGGAAUUUUUCCGCUUAAGGAGAUUAUGGAUACAUAAAGACAUGCUGGGAAGGAUUCGUAAUUCCAAAUAUCACAGGAUAGGAAAGUGGGACAAGCAUUUUUCGUCACAGGAGAUGGUCUCGUGAGGAUGAUGCAUACGUAAAUUUUCUCUGGAUGAACCAGGAAAGGUGGAAAGGAAUUAGGUUUCCUGCAUCGGAUCACUUGCUAAUGUACAGAGCAGUAAUAUUAAGGAUUGGAUGCAUGGAUUCCUCCUGGACACGUGGAGUGGAUCUUGGAGGAUGGAUAUUCAUAUGUAUUUAACAUAUAUUUGUAGGGGGCAGGUAUUUUUCUGUAUUGUAGGAAAUGUUUUGGGACUUCCAUCCCUCUCAAAGAGAAAGGAAUGUAAACUAUAUAAAUUCUUAAAUAUUUUGUGUUCAUACUACUUUUCGAUUAUGUACUGGCAUUAUUUUUCUGGUUUCUUAAAAUUGCCAAAACUAAGCUGGUAAUGUGUUCUCAUAAAACAAACUGAAAAUUAAAAAAAAGAAAAAAUGGUUUUAUAAUCUUUUAGAUGAAAGCUUCCUGAUGUAAACUAAUGAAAAGGUAAAAAUAGCAUUGUGUACCUGCAAGUUUUAUCCAAGUACAUUGUUAAUUCUUAUUUUUUAAUAAUAAUUACACAUCAGAAUUUUUUUGUUCCAUGCUGAUUUAAAACUAUUUGCCAAUAUUUAUUUAUUUAUUUUUUAAAGUUCUCAAAGGAAAUAAAAUUUGGUAGCUAGUUCUAAAAUCCCAUGUUAUUUUUUUUUUUACUACAGUUACUAUAAACAUUCUUUUUAGAGAGCAAUACACUCUGCAGAUCUGAUUAAAUAUAAAUAUGUUUUAAAAAAAUAAUUUUUUCCUUUGCAAAAAUAUUUUCUAUAUUCAGUUAAGUGUAGAAUAUUGCUUGAAUGUAACUGUUUUGCAUUAUUAUGUUGGUCUCGAAGUGCACAGUUUAACUUUGUUGUGCUCUUGACCUUGCAGGUCUCGAGACCACUUAUGCCUUUUUCCCCUAAGAAUGUGUAGAAGAUAUCCCAUAGCUCUUGCUUCUGACUAUCAUACAGUAGAACUUAAUAGCAUAUUGCUAAUGCAUUUUAAUGUUGUUUCCAAGGUAGAGGGAUGAUUGCAAAAAAAAAAAAAAAAUUAUCACUUUGGUGAUGUCAUCAUAUGAGAGAUUUAUGCAUAAAACAUCCGUUCCUGCAAUCUUUUAUCUUUCCAUAUAGUGCUGUAUAAUACAUUUGGAAUUACAAAAUAUUUUUUCCAUGUAAUUCAAAUCUUCGUCUGCUUUUUGAAAUUCUUUAGUGGUCAAAAUUUCAUUUUUUUUUUUUUAUCUUUAUAAUAUAUAAACAAUACUCAUUUUCCCCCCUUGUAGACUGAAAUUUUAAUGAGUGGAAGUCUCUUUAUUAAUGCAUUAUGCUUAAAAACAUGGAUGGGGGGGAAAUAUGUAUCCUUAGAAUUUAAAGGGUUUAUUUAUUUCUUUUUUCCCUCUUUUAACUUGUAGUUGGAAAAGGUAAGUAUUCCAUAGGUGGGUGUAGAUUUUAUGUGAUAUUUAAGUUUUUUCUUGAUAUUUGAGUAGAAAAUAAAAUCUGAAUCCUUUUAUCCUUGUCCUGGUGUGUUUUUGUUCUAAAACUGUAGUCUGAAUGAGUAAUUUCUUACUUUAAAAUCUAAUCAAGUAUUUCUAAUUAGGAUGCAUAAAUUUUCAGCAGAUUGCAUAUGAAUAAUUAAUUUAGUAAUACAGUUAAUCCAUAAAUGAUAGAAACAUCAUACUUUGAGUUUUUCAUAUUUGCAAAAUUUCAUGUUAAAUAUCAGUGUUAAAAAAAAAAAAAAAAAAAAAAAAAAAAAAACUUCGAAGUGCUUAACUCAUCAAAUUCAUCCUAUUUUCUGAAUAGUUUUAAGUUUAGGUAUUAUAACAGUUUUUAUAUUUCUUUAGUGAAUGUGUAUAGUAUGAGAACAAAGUAUGUUUAAAAAUGAUUUUUAUCAGAAACCAUUUGGUAUAAAUGCAAGUCAUUACUUUAUAUGUCAUGAUUUAUUAAUCAGACUAAUACAAGCUUUUGCAUGAACAUAAUUAUGUAUUGGUUUACAUUUGAGUUUGAAAUCAGUUUCUGUUCAAUUAUAAAUAAUUAUUUAAAUGAAAUUAUACUAGAAAGUAAUUAAUAUUACCAAAUUUAAAACUUUAUACUGAAAUUAAGUAAAACUCUUUAAUUAAAAAAUAAUUAAACUCUGAAACAUAAUUUUCAAUUUCCAGUAGUUCAUUUUGCGAACUGCAUUUGAAGAUACGAAGUACUUAGUUUGUGCAUUGAAGCAGUAUUGAGGUUUUUGAACAUAUGAGCUUGUAAAUGGCAAUUAAUGAAAGUGGUGAAUAUGAUUAUCUUAAAAGUUUACUUCAGGUAUAAUCUUUAUCGAUACAUUUGUCUUUGUCUGUUGCCAGCUCUGCCGUUUGGUCACAAAAUUAAGGAACUGGUCUACACCUCAAAGUAAAUAGGUGUUCUUAUUACAGACUAGGCCAGGGAAAUGGUUGAAAUAUACACUCUAAAAAAAAUAAUAUAAGCUCUAAAAAAGGUUAAGGAAAGUGAAAUUUCUCUAAAAAGUCAACGAAGUAGGGAAGUAUGCUGAUUAAUUCUCUCGAAUAGUAAAUAGGUUAAGUAAUAAUCAUUAAACCAAAAUUGCCCAUCUUGAAAGCAAAUUAGUUAUUGUAAUGUUUUUGAUUUUAUCAACUUAAUAGCUUUCAUGCCUAUUAAUGAGCUAUUCACCUUUCUGUUUAGAAAUGUGACUGUUCAAUCAUCACCCUUUGUAGAAUUACCACAUGUAAAACUAAAUAGCAUGGUUCAGAAGUCAUUACAUUGUGUGAUUGUGCAUUAUAAUUGUUAUAUUAUUACAUAUUAACUGAAUCUGGUUAAUUAGCUCAUUAGUUUUACAAGGGUAUAUCAAAAGGUUCUUGGAUUAGUUCUGUUGAUAAAAAAACAUAUUACUUAAAAAACUUUGAACAUUUCUUUUGAAAUAAUCACCUUAUACAGGCUUUUAUUGGAAUGCGAUCUCAAAAUCAUUUUUGUAAGCACUCGUGGAUGUCUUGGCAAUCCAUGAUGUGAUAUUCUUUCUGCUCAGGAAUUCACAAAGACAAAUUUGAUAGCAGUAUGCCCUAUGUUCUUUUCUGAUGUUAGGAUUGUCUGCACGGACCUGUUCAAACCACUGCAGUGCCUGUAGUUAAUACUGAUCAUUCUCCAUUACCUGCAUGCACAAGUUCCUGAACUCGUUCCUCAUUUUUUAGGGUGAUGUUGAUGGAAGGUCUUCCAGAUUGCCCAUCAAAGGGUGUUUCAGCACUUCUGAAGUACCUGUGCCUUUCGAAACAUUACGUACAACUCAUUGCUUCAUUGUCAUAAACAUGCAAGUGCAUGGUCAGUGUUUCUGUAGCCUAUUUGCCCAUUUAACACAGAAUUUCACAUUGGCUUUUGUUCAUGAUGUAAUAAUCGUGGACUACUAUGUCCAUGUAAUUACAGAAAUACUACUGCAGCAACUGUUGACACUCCCAUAGUGUUGUCUUUUGCUACACUGCUUUAUCAAGACUAAAAGUCACUGUAGCUGCAAGUGCAGACCUGUUUUGCGUCUUGUUGGUUUGCUACAGAGCUAAUCCAAGAAUUUUUUAAUGUAACCAUGUGCUUUAAAAUGCUGCAGCAUUAUGUUUAUUAUAAAUGAUCUCAUAUUUUAAAUUUCUUUGCAGAAUAAGCAUGCUCCCCCCUUCCGAGUGAUUAAAAACCUUACCAAGCUUUUUUUUUUUUUUAUUUAAAUUUAUUUGAUCUAGAUGAUUAUUUUAUAUAUUUUUCUUACAUAUGCUUCAAGGUAAUGAGUAAGCUAGAUUAGAAUUUUUUAAAUGUUUUUGAUUAAUUUAAUGUAUUUUAUAAUUAUUGCACAUUAUUCAAUUAUGAUAUUUAAUUUGAUAAACGAUAUCAUCACAUUUGGUCAGAGAAAUCAUUCAACUAGGUCAGGGAAAUUAAAGGUUGAAUUUCAGUAGGAACCCUGCAGAUGCAAAUUUUCACAAAUUUUUAUGUUGGUAACUCAACCAAUAUCAGCAAGUACACAGUUACAGCACAUACUGCCAGCUCAAGCUUUAGAACUGGAAUUUUACUGAUUUGUGGUAACCGACUCUGUGACUGAAACAUAAUCAUGAGAUUGUGGGCCCAUCUAACCCAGUUAAGUGAGAACUCCUUGUGAAUUGUGUUAGGAUUUGCAAGUUCAUCCAGAGUGGUUUUUUUUUUUUUUUUUUUUUUUUUUUUUUUUGUUUUGUUUUAGUUGACUUUGUUUGUGUUGCACAUGUAAUUAUCCACAUUAUUUUGUAUUCUUUAAUUUGAAGAGAUGCUUCCUUUUACACAGUAGGCCAUAAAUUAUAUAUCGUUCUGUCUUGUUAACAUAAAAUCGGCUAUUUUAUGUACUGAGGCUUCCAUUAUUUAUACUUGUCAUGCUUACUUGCACUUUACUGAGAUCAGAUGUGAUAACUUUCUUCACUGCCACUACAGUAUUGCGUAUUUUCUGGCAGUUUUUUAGUUUCUGAUGCUGCAUUUUCAAUUUAUACUUUUUUUUUUUAAUCUAAUUGUUUUCAUUAUGUUUUCUGCCAUCUAUCUAUUCAUAUGGAAAAUAAAAAUGUUGCUGCGAUAUUUUUUUUUUUCUGUUUAUGUGGAAAUCUCCUUACAGUGUUUUAAAAACUUUGAAUCUGCAUUUUGGAAUACUUUAAAAAUAAAAGAAACUUCUUUAUUAUUUGUUUAUCAAAGUUAUGUAAAGAAAAAUAAUAUAUGUGUAAGCCUGACUUUUGAAUGAUUAAAAGAAAAUAUUUAUUUCUUAUUAAUGCCACAAAAAAGUUCCUAAAUGUCAUAAAUUUUCUAUUAAUGAUAUCAGAACUGUGAAAUUAAACACAUAUUUUUAUUUGCCUAAAUUUGAGAACUUAAAUUGCCAUAUAUCAUUCCAAGUGCUCAGAAUCAGCUAUUUGUCACAUUCCAAGGACUUAGCCAAAUGUUAAAGAAAAUAUAAGUAAUUCUGCUCUGGGAGUGAAAAUUGUUUGUAAUGUUUGGAAAUAUCUAAAGUAAUGAGUAGCAAAACUGAUGGCAGAUUUGUGAAGACUGAAGAAACAAGGAAAGUUGUUACACCUGUGAAAAGUCUUGCAUUUAGAAUCAAGAAAGACCAAGCUGACCAAGAUUUGUUGUUUAUUGAGUACAACAUUUCAUUCAUUUUCCUUUAUUUAAUACUUGGUAAUCAUUAAGUUUUAGAGUUUAGUCCAUUAGAUAGAUUAACUCUGAAAUCUAAAUGUUAGUAUAAACUAGUUCACAUUGUAGAUAAUAUUUUUUAUGGCUACUGUUAUGUAAUAUGUAGCAUUUCAGAUAGGUGAUACUAUGCAUUAAAUUCACAAUAAAGUUUAAAUGACUUUUGU
rnacentral:misc_RNA from 1 species